rnacentral:rRNA from 1 species
UGAAUACGAGAUGCUACGGCGUCGAAGCAGUCUAUGUCAUACUUCCAAGAAAAGCUCGCACUGUCAUAAACAAAUAAUGCCUGUACCAUAACCGACACAGGUGGGGGUAGAGUAUACUAAGGGGCGCGAGAUAACUCUCUCUAAGGAACUCGGCAAAAUGACUCCGUAACUUCGGGAGAAGGAGUGCCUUAUUUAUAAGGUUGCAAUAACAAGAUCCAAGCAACUGUUUAUCAAAAACACAGGUCUCCGCUAAGUCGUAAGACGAUGUAUGGGGGCUGACGCCUGCCCAGUGCCAGAAGGUUAAAGAAGUUGGUUAGCAUUCGCGAAGCUGAUAACUGAAGCCCUGGUGAACGGCGGCCGUAACUAUAACGGUCCUAAGGUAGCGAAAUUCCUUGUCGGGUAAGUUCCGACCCGCACGAAAGGCGUAAUGAUUUGGAUACUGUCUCGGAGAGGGGCUCGGUGAAAUAGACUUGUCUGUGAAGAUGCGGACUACCUGCACCAGGACAGAAAGACCCUAUGAAGCUUUACUGUAACUUGAGAUUGAAAUUGGACUUUACUUGCGCAGUAUAGGUGGGAGGCGUUGAUAAUAUUCUUGCGGGAUUAUUUGAGCCAUCAGUGAGAUACCACUCUUGUAAUGUUAGAUUUCUAACUUUGUAUCAUUAUCUGGUCAAAGGACAGUUUCAGGCGGGCAGUUUGACUGGGGCGGUCGCCUCCUAAACGGUAACGGAGGCGCACAAAGGUUUCCUCUGAACGGGUAGAAAUCGUAUCUAGAGUGUAAAGGCAUAAGGAAGCUUGACUGUGAGACCUACAAGUCGAGCAGGGACGAAAGUCGGUCUUAGUGAUCUGACGGUGCUGAGUGGAAAGGCCGUCACUCAACGGAUAAAAGUUACUCUAAGGAUAACAGGCUGAUCUCCCCCAAGAGUUCACAUCGACGGGGAGGGUUGGCACCUCGAUGUCGGCUCAUCGCAUCCUGGGGCGGUAGUACGUCCCAAGGGUUGGGCUGUUCGCCCAUGAAAGCGGUACGCGAGCUGGGUUCAGAACGUCGUGAGACAGUUCGGUCCAUAUCCGGUGUAGGCGUUAGAAUAUUGAGAGGAGCCUUCUUUAGUACGAGAGGACCGAGAAGGACAUACCUCUGGUGUACCAGUUAUCGUGCCAACGGUAAACGCUGGGUAGCUAUGUAUGGAGUGGAUAACCGCUGAAAGCAUCUAAGUGGGAAGCCCACCUCAAGAUAAG